GUUCAAAUACAACUUUGUUGGAAAUGAGCUUUUCAGAAAUAGUAACACUUAGGAAAAGUCAACAUAUUAUUGGCUGUUGUUCAACUGGUAUUUUUCAAGAACCAAUAGCCUACAUGUUUUCGCCAAUUAGUAGUGCUUGAGAAGAACUUUCUAUUGUGGCUGUCAAAGGGCUUAAUUAACUCUGAAUAGUUGAGGAAAACCGAAAAUGAUGCCCGGUCGGCCACCUGUACCAGCUUCUGUUCCAGAAAAUCCUUUGGGACUUUCCUGGCAUGAUAGUGCUUGGAUCCCUAUGCUCAAUAGUAGUAACAUAAUGGACUAUUUUUCCGAAAGAAGUAAUCCAUUUUAUGAUAGAACUUGCAACAAUGAGAUCGUUAAAAUGCAACGUUUAAAUACAGAUCAGCUGACGAAUAUGACAGGAUCGGAGUACAUCUUACUUCAUGUACAGGAACCUAUUUUAUAUGUAAUUAGAAAACAACAUCGUCAUUCAGCUACCCAAGUUACUCCAUUAGCAGAUUACUAUAUUAUUGCAGGAGUGGUAUACCAGGCACCAGAUUUAGCAUCAGUUGUUAAUUCUAGAUUGUUAUCCACAGUACAUCAUUUACAAUCAGCUUUUGAAGAAGCUAGCUCCUGUUCUCGAUAUCACCCCAGUAAAGGAUAUUCAUGGGAUUUGAAAAAUGGGAAAGCGUUAACUGCUAAAAAAGAGGUUCCUGUUAGAGAAGAACCUAGCUCGUUAUUCCAGCGUCAGAGGGUUGAUAUGUUACUCGCAGAACUCACACGCAAAUUUCCCUUACCAGUUCCAAAGCCUAUUCAAACCAUUACUGAACCUUCUGUGGAAAUCAAACAAGAAAUAAAGACUGAAAAGAAGGACAUGAAACCACCCCCAGAAAAGAAACCGAGGAUAAAUUAGAUUUAAUGACUUCCUAUUACAUUUCUUUUUUUAUUUCGUAGAAUAAUAAAUACCUACUUUACACAGCAUGGAGUAUAUUGGCAGUCACUUCGUGGUACGCCAUCACAAGGAUGUCGAUUAGGACACUUUGGAGGACGUUUUGGAGGAAUUGGCGGUGUGCAUUUGCGACGGCAAAUUUUUGUUCUUUUUGAUAAGCGUGGUGCCGACUAAUAAUUCCAAAUGUCCAAGCCGUAAAAUUAAACAAAGAAAGAAGGACAAACGUGGUAAAUGCGUUGAAAAUUUGAUUACCGUGUUUUGCAAUAAAUCAGAAAUGUCCGUAAAAAUAGACAUUUUUGUAUGAAACAUA